rnacentral:tRNA from 1 species
GUUGAUGUAGCUUAACCACCAAGCAAAGCACUGAAAAUGCU